UAUAGUCCCCACAAAUAUGUUUUUCUUUUCCUCUGUGCAGCAAACCUGGAAGCCUGUGCUAAAUGCCCACCAUCUUUGCUGUUUUUCUUCUGAAGAAACCUGUGAAGUAAGGGGGCAGGUGGUGUCAUUGUUGGCAACACUGAGGUCAAAAGUCUGUGUGAGAGUUUAAAUGAGAACUCAGGUCUUCAGCCUGCCCACUGCUAUGCAGAAGCAUUAACUUCAUGUGGGCAGAGUAACUGAAUGUUUUAAGUCAAGGCCACAUGUCACAAAUGGCAAAGGGAGAGAACCACAUUGCAUUUGCUUCUUGGGCUUAGAAUGCAACCACACCAAGACUGUUUUGUCAGUGUUCUAUAAAGGGACCCCAUAAGGGAAAAAUUAAGUUAAGUUCUGCACUUACUGGGUAUUUCACAAAGCCAGUAAGUAGUCAACUCAAUAGGUAGAAAUAUUUUUUAAGUCAUGACUUUUCUUUAUGUCCUCGUUUUUAUUAAAGCUUUGGUAAGCACUUAAUUUGCAUGUGACCCAAUGAAGUGUGCUGUGUAAAUAAACACCGGACUAGAUAUAGUUUCUAAAUGUGUUUGGCCUCAUCCAGCUGAAAUUCUUGAUUCUUCAGAAGAUGAAAGAAAAAGGACAAGGAACCUUCUCUUAGAUCUACAUGAAAAUCCCAUCGCUGUUCUGUGGGAGAAUGGCUUGGUAUGGGGCCUUUGGAACUCAGGUUCUGCUGUGCAGCCAUUGAGUUCUCACCGACUCUCACUGCUGCAGGCUCUUUAGAGGACUCCUUGUGGUGUUGGCAACCCAUGGGUUGAAGAAUUGGAUGGAUGAAAAAUAUAAUUUGUUUACAUAGCAGCUAUCUUUUGAGCCAUAUUAUCUCCUAUCAACCUUGGAACAAUAUAAUAAAGUAGAGGGGUGUUUUACAGAGUAAGCCUUUCUUCAGUUCAACUUGCAGAAAUGGUGGUGUUUUUAUUUUCCAGUGAACUCUUACAACAAAAUGUUCAUUAAUUAAAAAUAGCUGCCUGAUACAGGAAACAGCUCAUAUAGCAGCUUCUGACACGGUUCUAAAAACAGACUUGAGCUGCUUGCGUGCUAAACAGGAAUGAACAAUGAAAACUGUAUGAACAAAUUCAGGGCCUUUCCUUGGAUUUGUCUGUACCCCUCAUGUCCUUGCUGAGCACCAAGAGAUGCCAGUCAGCUGAGGUCGCCCAGCCUUGGCCAGUCCCCUGAUACCCUGUGGAGCUGCUCAUUGCUUUCUACUGAAAAUGAAAACUCUUAAUUUUGUUUUUUUAGAGAGAGGAAGAAAGAGACAGAGAGACAGAGAGAAGGAGAGACAUCGAUUGGUUGCCUCUUAUACACGCACCAACCGGGGACUGAACCUGAACUAUAGGUAUGGGACCGGAACUGAACACUCAACCCUUUGCUGUACAGGACGAUGCUGAGCCACACCAGCCAGGACAAAAACUCUUAACUUUUGUCAUUAUUUUUGACUCUAAGAUCUGUCUCUAGCAUAGACUCUAAGAGAAGUCUCCUGAGAUUUAGAAAGUAUAUUUCAUUUGCUUAAAUGAUUGUUAAAUUGGUCCUAGGUAUAAUGCAUUAAAUGUUUGGCAGGAAAAAAAAUGUUUAUUUCACAUUAUAUUGCUUCAUAAAUAACUAAUUUAUCAUGACUAGAGAGAAUUGAAGUUCAAAAUAUACCCAAAGGGGCCUGUGUUCUGGCUAUUUUUUGCAGUUUAAUAAACCAUUCCAACGUGUAAUAGCUUAAACCAGCAAUUUGUAACCUCGGGAUUCAGUGGGUUGACCAGGAAGUUCUGUUUCAUGUGAUGUUGGCUGGAUGCUGGAAUGGCUGUUGUCCUCUGAGGCUUGGCGAAGAGCUCAGCGGGACCCAGCGGCUGCUUGGGUUGCCUUGUGGUGUCUGGAUUCCACAAGGGAAGAGGUGAAUGCUGCCCAACCAGUUAAGGGCUAAGCCCAGAAUUGGCGCUGCAUCGUUUCUGCCAUAUUUUAAUGGUCUAAGCAGUAAUAGGCCCAACCCAAAGUCAGUGUGAGAAGGGACUAUGCAAAGACAUGAAUACUCAGAAGUGCAGUUUGUUGGAGGUAGUCACCAAAAUAACGGUUGACCAGGGUGUGUGCUCUCUGGCCCCUCACACAUGUAAACUGUGCUGACCUCCACACAAGACCUUUACAAUCUCACCUCAUUACUACAUCAGCUUAGUUCAGGAUUAGUCUAAAUCAGGUCAAAGAGCUGAUGAGGCUCUUUCGGUACAGCUAAUCUCAACUGAACACCUGGGAACUAAAGCGACAAACUGGGAACUAAAGGGACAAACUACACUAUGGGGUUGCCUGUUCGAUCCCUG